UACGUAGGGACCGAGCGUUGUCCGGAUUCAUUGGGCGUAAAGCGCACGUAGGCGGGUUGUUAAGUCAGGGGUGAAAUCCUGGAGCUCAACUCCAGAACUGCCUUUGAUACUGGCAAUCUUUGAGUCCGGGAGAGGUGGGUGGAACUGCGAGUGUAGAGGUGAAAUUCGUAGAUAUUCGCAAGAACACCAGUGGCGAAGGCGGCUCACUGGCCCGGUACUGACGCUGAGGUGCGAAAGCGUGGGGAGCAAACAGG
rnacentral:rRNA from 1 species